rnacentral:rRNA from 1 species
CCGGUAAACGGCGGCCGUAACUAUAACGGUCCUAAGGUAGCGAAAUUCCUUGUCGGGUAAGUUCCGACCUGCACGAAUGGCGUAAUGAUGGCCAGGCUGUCUCCACCCGAGACUCAGUGAAAUUGAACUCGCUGUGAAGAUGCAGUGUACCCGCGGCAAGACGGAAAGACCCCGUGAACCUUUACUAUAGCUUGACACUGAACAUUGAGCCUUGAUGUGUAGGAUAGGUGGGAGGCUUUGAAGUGUGGACGCCAGUCUGCAUGGAGCCGACCUUGAAAUACCACCCUUUAAUGUUUGAUGUUCUAACGUGGACCCGUAAUCCGGGUUGCGGACAGUGUCUGGUGGGUAGUUUGACUGGGGCGGUCUCCUCCUAAAGAGUAACGGAGGAGCACGAAGGUUGGCUAAUCCUGGUCGGACAUCAGGAGGUUAGUGCAAUGGCAUAAGCCAGCUUGACUGCGAGCGUGACGGCGCGAGCAGGUGCGAAAGCAGGUCAUAGUGAUCCGGUGGUUCUGAAUGGAAGGGCCAUCGCUCAACGGAUAAAAGGUACUCCGGGGAUAACAGGCUGAUACCGCCCAAGAGUUCAUAUCGACGGCGGUGUUUGGCACCUCGAUGUCGGCUCAUCACAUCCUGGGGCUGAAGUAGGUCCCAAGGGUAUGGCUGUUCGCCAUUUAAAGUGGUACGCGAGCUGGGUUUAGAACGUCGUGAGACAGUUCGGUCCCUAUCUGCCGUGGGCGCUGGAGAACUGAGGGGGGCUGCUCCUAGUACGAGAGGACCGGAGUGGACGCAUCACUGGUGUUCGGGUUGUCAUGCCAAUGGCACUGCCCGGUAGCUAAAUGCGGAAGAGAUAAGUGCUGAAAGCAUCUAAGCACGAAACUUGC